rnacentral:rRNA from 2 species
CGGGCGUUAAGUUGCAGGGUAUAGACCCGAAACCCGGUGAUCUAGCCAUGGGCAGGUUGAAGGUUGGGUAACACUAACUGGAGGACCGAACCGACUAAUGUUGAAAAAUUAGCGGAUGACCUGUGGCUGGGGGUGAAAGGCCAAUCAAACCGGGAGAUAGCUGGUUCUCCCCGAAAGCUAUUUAGGUAGCGCCUCGUGAAUUCAUCUCCGGGGGUAGAGCACUGUUUCGGCUAGGGGGCCAUCCCGGCUUACCAACCCGAUGCAAACUGCGAAUACCGGAGAAUGUUAUCACGGGAGACACACGGCGGGUGCUAACGUCCGUCGUGAAGAGGGAAACAACCCAGACCGCCAGCUAAGGUCCCAAAGUCAUGGUUAAGUGGGAAACGAUGUGGGAAGGCCCAGACAGCCAGGAUGUUGGCUUAGAAGCAGCCAUCAUUUAAAGAAAGCGUAAUAGCUCACUGGUCGAGUCGGCCUGCGCGGAAGAUGUAACGGGGCUAAACCAUGCACCGAAGCUGCGGCAGCGACACUGUGUGUUGUUGGGUAGGGGAGCGUUCUGUA